AUUGAACGCUGGCGGCAGGCCUAACACAUGCAAGUCGAGCGGAGCGGCGGACGGGUGAGUAAUGCCUAGGAAUCUGCCUGGUAGUGGGGGAUAACGUCCGGAAACGGGCGCUCAUACCGCAUACUAUCAGAUGAGCCUAGGUCGGAUUAGCUAGUUGGUGGGGUAAAGGCCUACCAAGGCGACGAUCCGUAACUGGUCUGAGAGGAUGAUCAGUCACACUGGAACUGAGAACAGGUCCAGACGCCUACGGGAGGCAGCAGUGGGGAAUAUUGGACAAUGGGCGAAAGCCUGAUACAGCAAGGACGCGGGCGUGAAGGAGAUCUUCGGAUUGUAGAGCACUUGAAGUUGAGAGGCGUUACCAACAGAAUAAGCACCGGCUAACUUCGUGCCAGCAGCCGCGGUAAUUC
rnacentral:rRNA from 1 species